CUGGAUUGACUAUCCUACACCUUGUUGCUCGCUACAGUGGGACUUGCAAGUCUACGGGUGCCAAAUGUCAUUUCUUACGGCGUCUUACAUCGUUGUUUUACUAGAGUCGGUAGCAGGAUACAGGUCGAUCACAUGUUACUUGGAACACCUUUUGUUUUAAGGUAGUUAGUACCACGGUAGUCACUUAUUACAAAUACUACGGUACGAUAAUAUUUUCCCCUUUACAUUCACUUCGUGAAUAUUCACACGAAGCACGGUAAUGUAGAAACUAUAUUUUUGUUAAUGAUAGUACGAAUUGGGAAAACACACACUCAAACAAGAGACAUACACACAGACACUAGAUGCCUUAGUAGAAGGCUACAGUGUGACAACCCAAAUUGUUCCGUUAUAUUUCCCCGUUUCCGUUAACGGAAUAUUCCAGUUAUAAAAGUUCCGUUAAUUAGAGGUCGUCAAUAUUAAUAAACAUCCCAAUUGUUUACAUUUAAAAUGUCGUUAAGUCGUGAUAAAAGGAAAUAAAAACACAGGACUCCACUCAUAGCUAAAAAUUCAGACUUAGAAGCUGUUAGAAUGGAGUUUACGGCCUAAGCUCCUUCUUAGGCCGUAAACGCCUUAAAUAAGGCCAAAAGACCCCAAACUUGUCCCUAUAGGCUUGGAAAUAAAUUAAGGGGAUUGCCUAGGAGUGCUUAAACACCAAAACACAAUGAUUUAGGGCAUAAAAGAGAGUUUACGGCCCAAGCACUUGCUUAGGCCGUAAACCCCUCAAAACCUUGUCAAAGUGCCCCCAAAACACUCCCAAACCACCCUUAGGCUUCAUACAUAAUUUAGGGACUUAGUAUUUGGAGUUUGGAUCAAUUAAACACAUCAAAAUGAUGGGGAAAAAGGAGUUUACGGCCCAAGUUUAUACCAAGGCUGUAAACACCCCAAAUCAUGCCCAAAGUGUGGUUUUGUUUCCCCAAAAGGCCUUAGACAUUUACCAUAAAAUACUAAGAUUAACACAAGGAUUUAAACACAAGAAAUGAAGGGAUAAAAAGGAGUUUACAGCCCAAGAAAGUGUCUAGGCCGUAAACUCCCCAAAACACAUCCAAAUGAUAGAUUUAAUCCCCCAAAAUAGCAUCACACUUCAUUAUAAAUUGCUAGCAAGGCAAUAAGGGCUUGAAACUUCACAAAACUCUAAGGGUGAGAGUUUACGGCCUUAAACUCACUUAGGAGUUGUUCCUAGGCCGUAAACUCCAAGAUAAUGCCCUUAGAAGCCUCAAAACCACUCAUGCCUUUUGGGAAAAGUACUUAGAAUAAUUCCAUGAGCAAGUAGAAGCCUUAAAACCCCCUAGACCCCAUCACCAUGAGUUUACAGCCGUAAACUCAUGGUGAGAUGUCCCUGGGCCGUAAACUAUGUGAUAAGGGUUUACUCUUGGAUAGUAAGCUCCAUUCUUUAGCCAUACACACCUUUAGACGCUACCCGGGACACCCAAACACUUAAACAAAGUGUUUUCCGCUCCUGUGAGCGCGUAUAUUUGUUUAAUUAGUAUUAAAUAUACUAAUUGUAUGUGAACAUAUGUUAUCAUAUGUUAAAUAGGUCAUUGUGUGUGUUCAAGUCCUUGCGUGACACCGAACGCCCAAAUGGCACCUUCGUCGGACCUACUUACACCAGGUGAGUUCAUACCCCUGAAUGAACCUUUAAAUGUUUUUAAAUGUUUUAUAGGGGGGAAUACAAGUUAAACAUGCCAGUUAUCAUAUCAAUCACAUGUGAUUGAUAACCCGCAUGCACGAGAUUUUACCACUGUACACUGUUUUACUGAGUAGGACACUAUAAUGGUUUUCAAUUGUUUCAAAACUUUUACUCAUACUGUUUUAUCUAAAUUCAUUCCAAACUGGUUUAUGAAAGAUUUUCAAACAUAUUUUACAAAAGAAUACAAAUUGUGAUUUUCUCCGGAUAUAAAGGUUAUUCAUCAGAGUUUCCCUCUUUCGACGUAUACUUUUACUUGUUAAAUACUGCUGCUUCGCUUAUACUUAUCUUAUACUCCUACUCUGUAACGCUUUCACUUAUACUUGAAGUCACUUAUACCUGAUGGACGCUUAUACUUAUUCACACUUUUACUUAGUGAUACGAUUCUACUUCGCUUAUACUUGAUAUCGACUCUACUUCACUUAUACUCGAUACGCUCAUACUUCACUUAUUGUCGUCUCUACUUCGUGAUACGCUUAUACUUGUUUGACACUCUUACUUCACUUGCGGUCACUCCUACUUCACUUGUUAGACACUCCUACUUCACAAAGAUCACUCCUACUUGAUACUCACUCAGUCGUAGUUAGAUGUAUGUCUAUGCUUAUAUAGGUACAUAUAAGUAAUGAUUGAAAGACUUAGGAAGGCUCGUCUGCCCUAUUUCUUUUUCUUCAUUGAGAUGUGGUCUGGUGGGAUCGGAUGGCCGUCCGAAGGUCGUUUGAAUCAUUAGUUAUAUAUAUUGUAUAUGAGUAUGGACAUAUAGGAAUUCUCUAGUCAGUUCAGUUAAGAGUCUCUACCUCUAGUCUACACUUACAUUAGAAACCCACUAGUUGGAAGUCUUUACCCACUAUUUGGGAUGCAUCUUCAGUACACGGCCUUUUUCGUCAUCUAGUUGGUAACCAGAGUCUCCUGUAGGGAGAGCGGACAUUGUGUGUAUAGAUCUAUACGAGAUUGACAACCCCGCACCCAGACUGCUAGCUACAGUCCCGGCCUACUAAGCCAACGGGUGACAAAUGUCACAUUUUAUAGACGGUUGUAGGGCGUCUGGUACUCUAGUCAGUAUGGUUACGAGUAUCCCGGGUUACCUUAUAAUUCAUUGGCUUUAAGGUAACGGUAUUUCGCCAGCAAUUUUCACUGUAUGCUGGUAAUUCACUUUCAGAGUCACACUGUUUUGACCUUACAACACGUAUCUUUCAUUUGAUACUGUCUGGGGUCUGUCUCCUCUGUUUUGACCUUACAAGACGUAUCUCUCAUUUGAUGUUGUCUGGGGUCUGUAUUCAUUGUAUUCACUGUUUUAGACCUUGCUAGACAUAUCUUUCAUUUGAUAUUGUCUGAGGUCUGUAUUCAAUGUUUGGACCUUACCAGCUGUACCUUUCAUUUGGUACCUUCUGGGGUCUGUGUCUCUAUUUGUUAGACUGAACCAGGCGAGUCAUUCGUUCGAUACUCUCCUGGAGUCUAUGAUUCCAUGCCUUAGUCAGCAGUCCUCACUGCUGAGGCAAAUGUUAUUCCCUGAUGUCAUUUGCUUUCCUCAAUGAACAAAUUCAGUAUUUUGAUAAUGAUAGCAACUUAGGGAAAAUGACUUUUUACCACAUAACACUGACCAGUCUUGGUAGAAGGCUGCUUAAUUAAAGAAAAUAUAGGAUUUUCUGGAAAGGACUCUAAUACACUGAAAUCUCUUAAACUACUACUUUUAUUAAAGUUAUUUGAAUGAAAACGUCACUAAAUGCUUAUGAACUCACCAACAUUUGUAAAAAUGCUGAUACUCGCUUUUCAAAUAACUUGUAUUCUCAGGUUAGCAUUAGACAGGUACAUCCCCGGAGCAGUUGAUGAAGAUAGCUUAGUGCCAUGCCGUACUUACUUAUAUCUACUUGUAUUACCUUGAUGUACUGUAAUGUAACCAUGUAAAAUUAUUACUAUUAAUGCAAUGUUUUGUUGUACUUUGAUUACUAUAUGCAUGUGUUGUGAUACUUGACAUGACGUCAUCCACCCCAGAACGUUUUCGCCGUUUCGGUUUUGGGGUGUGACAUACAGUUAGUUGGAAACAUAGGGUUUUCUAGGAGAGUUCAAAACAUUGUACAAAACAUUUUACAGAAACAUUUUACAACCGUUUUCAUACAAAGUCAGACAUUAAUAUACUUAUGAUCUCACCAGCUCUAAGCUGAUACUCGCUUUCAAAAUAACUUGUAUUCUCAGGUCACCACUAGACAGGUACAGGUGCCAGGCUUUUGAGAAGAUGGAG
rnacentral:lncRNA from 1 species